UACGUAGGCAGCGAGCGUUUGUUCGGAAUUACUGGGCGUAAAGAGUGUGUAGGCGGUGCUCUAAGUUCGGUGUGAAAUCUCCUGGCUCAACUGGGAGGGUGCGCCGGAAACUGGAGUGCUUGAGCGUGGGAGAGGAAAGCGGAAUUCCUGGUGUAGCGGUGAAAUGCGUAGAUAUCAGGAGGAACACCUGUGGUGUAGACGGCUUUCUGGGACCAUAGCUGACGCUGAGACACGAAAGCGUGGGUAGCAAACAGG
rnacentral:rRNA from 1 species